rnacentral:rRNA from 1 species
UCUUUCUUUGCUGGCGACCGGCGCACGGGUGAGUAACACGUAUCCAACCUGCCCUUUACUCGGGGAUAGCCUUUCGAAAGAAAGAUUAAUACCCGAUAGCAUAAUGAUUCCGCAUGGUUUCAUUAUUAAAGGAUUCCGGUAAAGGAUGGGGAUGCGUUCCAUUGGGUUGUUGGUGGGGUAACGGCCCACCAAGCCUUCGAUGGAUAGGGGUUCUGAGAGGAAGGUCCCCCACAUUGGAACUGAGACACGGUCCAA